rnacentral:rRNA from 1 species
AAUGAACGCUGGCGGCGUGCCUAAUACAUGCAAGUCGAGCGAACGCACAAGGAGCUUGCUCCUCUGCCGUUAGCGGCUGACGGGUGAGUAACACGUAGAUCACCUACCUAUAAGACUUGGAUAACUUCGGGAAACCGGAGCUAAUACUGUAUAAUAUAUUGUACCGCAUGAUUCAAUAGUGAAAGGCGCUUUUUGUGUCACUUAUAGAUGGUUCCGCGUCGCAUUAGCUAGUUGGUAAGGUAACGGCUUACCAAGGCAACGAUGCGUAGCCGACCUGAGAGGGUGAUCGGCCACACUGGAACUGAGACACGGUCCAGACUCCUACGGGAGGCAGCAGUGGGGAAUAUUCCACAAUGGGCGAAAGCCUGACGGAGCCAAGCCGCGUGAGUGAUGAAGGUCUUCGGAUCGUAAAACUCUGUUAUUAGGGAAGAACAAAAGUGUAAUUAAAUAGGCACGUCUUGACGGUACCUAAUGAGUAAGCCACGGCUAACUACGUG